rnacentral:rRNA from 1 species
UUUAAGGUCUGACCUGCCCAAUGAGGGUUUAAAUGGCCGCAGUAUUUUGACUGUGCAAAGGUAGCAUAAUUAUUAGUUUUUUAAUUGAAAGCUUGUAUGAAGGGUUGGACGAGAUAAAGUCUGUCUCUAUUUAGAUUAAAAUAGAAUUUAACUUUUAAGUCAAAAGGCUUAAAUAUUUAUAAAAGACGAGAAGACCCUAUAGAUCUUUAUUUGGAUUGAAUUUUGAUAAUUUAGGAUUAUUUUAGUUUAAAUUUCAAACUAAAUUUUAUUGGGGUAAUAUAAAGAUUAAAUAAAUUCUUUUUAUUAAUAACAUUAAUUUAUGAGUUUGUGAUCCAUUAUUAGUGAUUAUAAGAUUAAGUUACCUUAGGGAUAACAGCGUAAUUUUUUUGGAGAGUUCAUAUCGAUAAAAAAGUUUGCGACCUCGAUGUUGGAUUAAAAAUUAGCUUGGGUGUAGAAGCUUGAGAUUUUGGUCUGUUCGACCAUUAAAUUUUUACAUGAUCUGAGUUCAGACCGGCGUAAGCCAGGUCGGUUUCUAUCUUUAUUUGAUUUAAAUAUUUUAGUACGAAAGGACCAAAUAUUUAAUAUAGUUAUAUUUAUUUUUUGAAUAAUAAU